rnacentral:lncRNA from 1 species
GGAGCCCCGGGACUGACGGUGACGUUGAUGUCGACGGGGGCUGUACGGCGACAGCUGCCGCUGACCAGGCAACGCAAAAAGAAGCCGGGGCGGCGGGACGGGGUGCACGGGCAGGGGCAGGGGCAGGGGCAGGAUCAGAAACACCAGUUGAAGCAGCAGCAGGGGCAGAGGCAGAGGCGGGUGCACCUCAGCGGUGGCUGUUCGCGGCGCAGCAGAUCCGGCUCAGUGCGGCUCAGAUGGACGUGUAUGCGGCGCACCGGACAGCGGCGGAGGAGACGGACGAGGACUUCUUCGACAACUUUAGCUAGGAGGGAUUGAGGUCCGCGGUUGCUGUAACGGUGGCUGUAGCGGUGGCUGUAACGGUAUAGCGGUUUCGAGGCGGGUAAGGUGGCUUUUCCUGCAUGUUUUCCUACACAGAGAUAUUCACCAGGCGUAAAUACGUAAACACGUGCACGUGUCUACGUAUGUACGGUAUGUACGGCAAGUACAUUAUAUAUGUCGGUUUUAUAUGAACGGGUGGCGGGUGCGAAGGCAUGGGCCCAUCCUGUAUUAAUCACCAUGAUGCAGCAGGCGUCACGUUAUAUAGCCAACAUGCUACAGCCCCAUGCCCCAAUGCGGCUGACUGAUUCCCGAGGGAGCGUUGCGGAUGUUGCUGCUUUCACCGUGCUGAAGGGCUCGUACGGGCUGGCUGCAUCAUUGGAGGCUAAACGCAAUUUAACAGUGUAACACACGCGUACUCGCAUAUGCACACGAAAAAACACAACCCCCGAAGGGAACUAGCUGCACGUGCAUGAGCCAAAGAUGGAGUUUCGCCUUCCGCUGUAUCCCGCCAUGCAUUUAACAAUUUCAAUCUAUAAAAAUCUGCUCCCAUUCCUUGCCUAAGCCUGCCUUUGCAAUACGGUGCCCGUGUGUGCGGAUUUAUAUGUGAGGAUUUAUAUGCAGUAGCACAAGGCCACGAGUUUGCUUGUGGGAAGGAAUUUCUUUUAGUGUAGUUAUUAAAGUUUUGCUAGGUCACGGAGCUCCCCUUUGGGGACAUAGGGGGGGGAGCCCUCAAGAAGGGCGAGCCGCCUUGCCGACUGGUGGCUAUUGCUUGCUCAGGGCCCAACAUUAAAUUUUGAUCUUACUUGGUUCCUUACCUCAAGUGUUUGUCCCGAUGGUAUGAAGCUGCUGUUGUGCGCUCGUGCGUCGUGCCUUCGAGUCGGUUUAAGCAAAAGGUGGUUGACCGGAACUCACUAACCGUAUGCUGCUGUUCUUGUUGCUGGCUAUGUUUUGGCUUGCUAGUUGCUACAUAUUUAUCCAAUCACCAUCUUUGUUACAAUGGAUGUGCG